rnacentral:rRNA from 1 species
CCUACGGGAGACAGCAGUGGGGAAUAUUGGACAAUGGGGGGAACCCUGAUCCAGCGACGCCGCGUGAGUGAAGAAGUAUUUUGGUAUGUAAAGCUCUAUCAGCAGGGAAGAAAGAAAUGACGGUACCUGACUAAGAAGCCCCGGCUAACUACGUGCCAGCAGCCGCGGUAAUACGUAGGGGGCAAGCGUUAUCCGGAUUUACUGGGUGUAAAGGGAGCGUAGACGGCGAUGCAAGUCUGAAGUGAAAGGCGGGGGCCCAACCCCCGGACUGCUUUGGAAACUGUAUGGCUGGAGUGCAGGAGAGGUAAGUGGAAUUCCUAGUGUAGCGGUGAAAUGCGUAGAUAUUAGGAGGAACACCAGUGGCGAAGGCGGCUUACUGGACUGUGACUGACAUUGAUGCUCGAAAGUGUGGGUAUCAAACAGGAUUAGAUACCCCAGUAGUC